rnacentral:rRNA from 1 species
UGGCUCAGAUUGAACGCUGGCGGCAGGCCUAACACAUGCAAGUCGAACGGUAACAGGAAGCAGCUUGCUGCUUGCUGACGAGUGGCGGACGGGUGAGUAAUGUCUGGGAAACUGCCUGAUGGAGGGGGGAUAACUACUGGAAACGGUAGCUAAUACCGCAUAACGUCGCAAGACCAAAGAGGGGGACCUUCGGGCCUCUUGCCAUCAGAUGUGCCCAGAUGGGAUUAGCUUGUUGGUGGGGUAACGGCUCACCAAGGCGACGAUCCCUAGCUGGUCUGAGAGGAUGACCAGCCACACUGGAACUGAGACACGGUCCAGACUCCUACGGGAGGCAGCAGUGGGGAAUAUUGCACAAUGGGCGCAAGCCUGAUGCAGCCAUGCCGGCCGUGUAUGAAGAAGGCCUUCGGGUUAGUAAAGUACUUUCAGCGGGGAGGAAGGUGUUGUGGUUAAUAACCACAGCAAUUGACGUUACCCGCAGAAGAAGCACCGGCUAACUCCGUGCCAGCCGCGGC